CAGAGGCCCCCCCAAUGAAAUGUGAGAAACGUCAUACAUCUUAUCCAAGGGUUCCCCAACGUCUAUCCUUCAAGUUCAAGUCUCACAAAUGUCAUAGCCAGAAUCAUCUUCUUAGGAUAAACCUAGGCUGAAUCAGGCUGACAGUAAAGAAGCCAAGGUCAGAAGACCAUUUGGUGUGUUGGUUCAUUGGCAUUACUUGGGGACCAGAUGGCGCCUAGUUAGUCCUAAUUUUUGCCCAACCUCCAGGCCUGAACCCAGAGGCAUACUGCAUCCUGGAUUGUCAGCACUGAAGCUUCUGGGUGAGGGGC